UGUGAGUAGUAGAGUUUGAUCCUGGCUCAGAUUGAACGCUGGCGGCAUGCCUUACACAUGCAAGUCGAACGGCAGCGCGGGGCAACCUGGCGGCGAGUGGCGAACGGGUGAGUAAUAUAUCGGAAUGUACCCUGGAGUGGGGGACAACGUAGCGAAAGUUACGCUAAUACCGCAUACGAUCCAAGGAUGAAAGUGGGGGACCGCAAGGCCUCACGCUCGUGGAGCGGCCGAUAUCUGAUUAGCUAGUUGGUGGGGUAAAGGCCUACCAAGGCAUCGAUCAGUAGCUGGUCUGAGAGGACGACCAGCCACACUGGAACUGAGACACGGUCCAGACUCCUACGGGAGGCAGCAGUGGGGAAUUUUGGACAAUGGGCGCAAGCCUGAUCCAGCAAUGCCGCGUGAGUGAGGAAGGCCUCGGGUUGUAAAGCUCUUUUGUCAGGGAAGAAACGGUGGCCCCUAAUACGGGUUGCUAAUGACGGUACCUGAAGAAUAAGCACCGGCUAACUACGUGCCAGCAGCCGCGGUA
rnacentral:rRNA from 1 species